AGGUAAUCAACAGGUGGAUCUGCAACUCACGAAGAUGAAGUGGGUUUAUGCAACUACAUCUUUCGUUCUGCUAUUUGUCAACCUUUCUCCAUGUAAAGCUGCAUUUCUCAAAGGUUAGUUGACACAUCAUGAACAAAUGUUUGAGAAAUUGUAUUGUACAAAUCAUUUUAAAAAUAGCUGAAGCUUUCCUUUAGCAAAAUAAGAGCAAUCCACAGUCAGAAGAUUUCAAGCCAUGGUACAGUAAAUUGUAGCAUGAGAGAUUUGGGUUCCAGUACGUUUGAGUGAUUGGCAUUCUGGACAUUAGCUGGUAAAUAUUAGCACCAGCCAAUGAUGAAAUUGAAACAUCACCAAAACACACUUGGCAUCCACAAAAUGCAACAUGUGUUUGCUGUAAAAUCAUCAUCAGAAUCCCAGAUUACCCAUAUUAAUGCAUUUUAUGCUAAUUAAUGAACAUCCUAAGUAGAUCUCCACUAUUGAUGUGAGUUUGCUUAUUCCCUAAACCAUAAGUUGUAUUGAAUUUAUUGGAAAAAAAAAAAUAAGUCAGCACAACUUUUUUUAGCCACAAACUGGCAAUUUAUUUGCCACUUCCCAGUUUGGUAAAAAUACCUGAUAGUGUCUCCUUAUUUCCAACUCACCCAUAGGGAUUGUUUGCAAUGAAUACAGAAUAGCACAAAUUCUGGAAAAUAAAACAGAAAAUUGGACAUGUAUUAUUAUACAAGUGACUAAGUUUAUCAGGUUCCUGAUAUGUAAUCUAAUCAUUUGGACUAAGGAUUCAUGCAUUGAUUUGUCAUAUAAACAAUGGCAUUUGAUUUUGUAUUUAUCUAGAACGUGCAAUGUCAGGAAAUUUUUCCGUUAUCUAAAUAGUCACGAAAGGACAAAGCAAUGCAAAUAUAUAUAUAUAUAUAUGAGUGUCUGAUGUGCGUGUUGUUAAGUACAUUUAUGAUCACUGCUUUCACGUAUGAAGCAAUUAUACAGUAAUCCAGGGAUACAAGUAAAUUCUGCCAAAACACGUAAUUACCUUGAAAAGUAACUCAAAGUCCAUCAAGCUAAUCAACCUGAUUACCAGUGUAAUUAUCCCAUGAAUAACAAUGGCAGCACGGGGGUUAACAUUUAUUUUUUACUUAAAAAAAACAAAACGUGAAAAUGGUUGAUUUCCUUCAUGUACAUGUUUUUAAUACAAAGCCAUUCCACCAUUUAAGAAUUGUUUUGACUUCAGCAUCUUAGUAGUACUAAUAGUGAGAGUCAAACCCCCUCUCCCCCCUGCACAAAAAUGUGUUACACUUAACAUGAGCUAUUCUUUCCUCAACCUUGAAGCAUGGUCCUUCUAAUCUUUAAAGUCCACUUUAUGAAGAGAUCAUUGUGAAGCUGUUUGUACUGAACUUAAUUCCAUGUUGACUAUUCUAUAUUGAUCUAGGAAACUUUAUGGAACUUGAAAACACAUUGUACAUUUUCAGCCAAUGUUUCAAAGUCAUUUUGAAUAGAUUUAGUGAGGGAAUCUUAGUUUAAAGGUGAAAAUAUCAAGCUGAUGGGUUGAUAGGUUUUUCAAUGAAGUUAGUUGGCAGUUUAUUUUGUUACAGUGAAAAGACUUGGUAGGAGUCUAUCAUCUCACCAAGUUUAGGUUGACUGUUAUCCACAUUUCUGUUCAGCUUUCCAUUCUAAUUCAAGUGAUGUUACUGUAUGUUGCUGUGUUUGGCAUACAACUAAUAGACACUCAUGGCACCAGAACCAAAAAUGAAAAUAGGACAAAAUAGCCGAGCUGGAGAUUCUCUAUGUCUUCUGUGUAGACCAAGCAUGUCAAACUCAAAGGCUAGCACGGGCUGAAUUAACAUGUUUUAAGAUUGUGGGCCGAAAAAAAAAUAAAAAUAAAUAUAUACAUAUAACUUAAGUUUUUGAAUAAAUGUUUUUUGUUUUUUAAAGUACAGUAUCAAAAAACAAAAAACAGCACCCUCUUCUACUAAACCCCAGUCCCCUCCCUCUAUACCAAAUCCCAGUCUUCCCCCCACCCCCCUCCAUACCUAAUCCCAGUCCCCCCUCUGUUAAAUCUGAGCAACAACCUCUAUUAGACCCCGGCCCCUGUUUAAAAAAAACCUACAAUAUUAGCCAACAAGCAGACUCCACUCACAUUGCCACUGCCAGAAUGUGACUCCGGAAUCAAACCUCUGGUAUACCCACAAUGGCGCUGUCUGCACCCUGUGCCAAAGCGGAUCCUCCAACUAUUCCUUGGAACCCUGUAAAAGUGGAGCAUGUUAACGUUAUGUCGGAAUGUGAAGUGGCGAUGUGUGCCUCCGUGCAACUCCAGGUCCUCCACUGUCAAGCUGUAGUCAUCGCACACUGACCAACACACACUCACUGACAGAUACGCAUUGACAGACACGCACUUACAUUUUGUUUAUUUAUUGCUCCCUACUUCUAGGAGCUGGUGUGGGGCCUCUCCCUGGGGUCCAGUGGGGAUCUUCCCUUUGGAGAUCUCCCUUCCUGCUCCCUCACGCGCGCCGUUUAGUGAUGCCAGGCCGGAAUGACGUCAUAUUUGGCACCACAACAGAGGGUGUGCGAGGGAGCAGGAAGAACAGACUGAGCUCCCUCACUGCUGCCAGCGUCCUCUCCACCUGGCCAGGUAAAUUUUAGCAGAGUAGGCACCUGCAAUGUGGUGAGAACAGGUGCCUACUGUUCCUUCACGGUGAGCAUGUCAAACUCGCAGCUCGCUGGGCCGAAAAGAUAUUCAUUGUGGGCCGCAUACGGCCGAGAGUUUGACAUCAUUGGUGUAGACCUACAUGUUGCAGAUCUUGUCCGUUAUCUUGGAACAAAACUAAAUAAAGCUUGAAAGUGUGUUCCUCUGACUUGCAUCUCUCCUUCAGUCCCUGAUCAGUUUGGCAUUUAUCUAUCCCUCAUUAUCCACUUAUUUCUUCUUCAGAAUAUCUCUUGCCCUCUUAUUGUCUUAGAACAAAUACACUGAACAAAAUUAUAAACGCAACACUUUUGUUUUUUGCCCCCAUUUUUUAUAGGGUGAACUUAAAGAGCUAAGACUUUUUCUAUGUACACAAAAGGCCUAGUUCUCUCAAAUAUUGUUCACAAAUCCGUCUAAAUCUGUGUUAGUAAGCACUUCUCCUUUGCCGAGAUAAUCCAUCCACCACACAGGUGUGGCAUAUCAAGAUGCUGAUUAUCCUCUCUUACCAUUAUGAGGCUGAUUCGCAAGCUGACCUGGUUGGCAGCAACCGUCCAGUUCCACCUAAUUUGCCUUCACAUCCCGGGUAUUCACAACACGGCCGCUGACGCUCUGUCUCGAUCUCAAUUUCAGGUGUUUUUCCAGAACACCGAAUUUUCACGAGCUAAUCUUGGAUUAAACACACUGAUGCACCACGCUAGGACACUUACGCACCAAGCACUAUCACCAAACACUACUAUCACCUACAGUAGGGCACUCACCAUUUUCAACAAAUUUACUGCUGAAUUCAGAUUACAAGGUGAUUUCUCAACCCAAACUAUGGUGGCUUUUGCCUCUUUUUGCCAUUUACAUUUAAAACUUUCCCACAACACCAUAAAAUUAUACCUCACGGGGGUGCAGCACCACAGCCUCACAAAUUUCCCUAACAACACCCCCUUUUUAUCAUCAUACCCCAUAAAGAAAAUCUUAAAGGGGAUCUCUAAAGUAUCAGUUCCACCUAUCACCACCAGACUACCUAUAAAUGGGCCUAUCUUUAGAUUACUGAGCAACCUCCUCGACGAAUCCCCUUUUGAUCCCAACACUAACCUGGUGAUCAAAUCUGAAAUCUAUUUGGCUUUUUAUGGGUUCUUAAGACCUAGGGAAUUUACUGUCAUUUGUCAAGGGGAUACCACUCACAGCCUCAAAACCUCACAACUCACUAAAAAAGACGACUAUUAUAUUGUCACAAUCCCAUCUACCAAAACAAAUCAGUCCCUACACCCCACUAUUAUUCCUCUCUUUCCAACAGACAAUGCUUGGUGUCCACUUAAGCCACUAGACAUGUUACGGUCAGCUUAUAGCACACACCUCACACCUACCAGACUCACCACUAUUACAACUACAAGGGCACCCACUCACUACAGCAAAAUUCACCACAUAUGUCAGAACCUUACUGGGAAAAUUGGGUUGCAACCCAACUUCAUUCUCCGGGCAUUCCUUUCGCAUAGGGGCCGCUUCAUCAGCUUCUAGCACUAACACACUGGUCCACAUCAUAAAGAGACUGGGUCGCUGGAAGUCCUCUAUAUACAAUAUGUAUAUUCCACGGCCAGAAAGAGAACUUCGCCAAGCCUUCAGGAAUUUAGUCAUGUAAUCAAAUGCAAUAAAGUGUUUUUUUCGAACUUCUCUUUGCCCUCUUUUAUUUACAGGCCCACUCGGACGUUGGUUUCGGCACACCACAACCAACUUUUAUCUUUGACAUUAUCCAUUACAUAUUAAAUUCCGAGCACAAGUAGAAAGGCCAUUAGGCCUGAAUUUGUGGGAGGAGUAAGUCCCCUACUUAAACACCCAGCCCCUACUCACCUCUGACGUUUGAGUUCAAGUGUUCCCCACCCACCGACACCCUUAGUACAUACAAUUCUCCUUGGUGGUCCCUCUUUUAUUUACAGGCCCACUCGGACGUUGGUUUCGGCACACCACAACCAACUUUUAUCUCUGACAUUAUCCAUUACAUAUUAAAUUCCGAGCACAAAUAUAUAUAUAUAUAUAAGCAGUGAUGGCAAAACUUGGGACUACGUAUGUUUCUGAUCUGCAUUUCCCUUGAUGAUCAAUAAAGCAUUUAGAUUGGGAAGUGUGGCUAAAACUAGCUUCAGUUCAGUUAUCACUGAUCAAUGGAGUAACAUCUGACUAUAAUACAAUAAUAUCAAUCUUUUUAGACUGGCCAAGUAUCAUAGAAGAUUCAGUUCAGACGUGUUUGUAAUGCCAAGUGUAGCCAUUGCAAGUUGAUUAAGAACUGCCCAUUUUAGGUUAAAAAUACCUAAAUUGGAAAAAGUAGAGGUGGAUAAUUGUUUGGAAUCCUCUGGUCACUUUUCUUCUUUGUUUAUUAACCUCAAAUUUGUUUUUGAUCUUAGAAUUCCAAAAGCAUAGUUACUUAAAAAAAACCACCGUUAUACUUUCAUUCUUAUUUGGUGCUUAAAAAAACAAACACUUUUACUGUCUGUAUUUAUGGUACUAUUCACAUAAUUAUAUGGAUUAUUUAGAAAUAUAGAAUAUAUAUAUUUUUUUAUUUGCUAGCCAGGAUAUUUAACCCCUUAAGGACAUAACUUCUGAAAUAAAAGGGAAUCAUGACGGAAUAUAUCUGUCAUGUGUCCUUAAGGGGUUAAUUUCACUAAUACUUAUGAGAUAAUAUGUUUAUAUUCUGAGAAGAAUAAUACUCAGUGGGGGAGAUUUAUCAAAACUGCACCAAUCUUAGAACAGAACACUUUGAAAAUAACCUCCAAUGUUUGUAGUUAACAGAUAAGUCAAUUGAUGAUAAUGUUAUGAGUUCAGGAAAAUGAGGAAAAUACCUGACUUUCAGUGAACAGUAGGCACUUUCUAGAUUUGCUGCGGUAUAGAUGGCAAAUAUCAGCUGAACUACACCGAGACAUACUGCAGUCUUAGAGGUGACACAAUUUGACUCAUAACAUCAAAGUGUACCUUCUUGUUUACUGUUGAUGUUUUUUCUCAUCCAAUUCUACAAUAAAGCAAAGUUCAGUAGAUUUAUAUGGAGAUAAAUGUCCUAUUUGACACAUCUUUUAAAAAUGUAAAGGACCAUUGAAGUCACCAAGACUACUUCUUAAUCUCAGAUGGGUGCUGAGGUCCUGUAUGGGAGGGUUUAAUACACCUUUAGUGCCUGUCUUUCUGAAACCCACCAGACUAUGCAUCCUCCAGAACAGAGUUAAAUUCACUCUUGCAUUUAAAUGCUGUUCAUAGCAGCACAACGUUUAUGUAUCUCCAAUCCAAUACUUCUUAAUCAGAAGUACUGGAUUUGACCAGGCAUGCUGACGUCUUCGAAGGUGGAGCAGACAGCUGCAGCAGAGAAGUCUCAGCACUGGAAAUAAGGUAAGUAAUCUUUGACUUUUUUUUAAUUUUAUUUUUAACUAGCAAAUAGGGGAUGGACAGAAGGGAAAUUAAGUUCUGAAUAAACAAAUGUCAUUUUUUUUGGACUAUGGGUUCCCUUUAAUUAACCCCUUAAGGACACACAACAUGUGUGACAUGUCAUGAUUCCCUUUUAUUCCAGAGGUUUGGUCCUUAAGGGGUUAAAGUGUACAAGAUAAACUGUUUCAAAACCUACAAAUUGAAUGACCUGAGAGGGGAACAGCGCUGAUUUGUUGAAAUUCAUGAUGAAACCCAAAGACUCCAGCAAACAAAUCUUAUAAAACCGCAAGCGUGAGGUGGCAUUGCAAAAGAUCGCCUAAGUAAAUUAGACAAUGAAUACCCUUCAUCAGUAGAUGUGCAUCACUGGCUUCAGCAGCUUGGUGAAACACCAUUUAAGUGGUGGAGAUUGAUGACCAGGCAAAAGUCUUGUUCAUCACCAGGAAAAUAUUGCUGUAAAAUCCAUCGUUAUCUGAUGCGAGUUAAGACCCUUUUGGUAAGGAGAGGUAUUCCAGACUGAUGUUGUCGGGAAGUGGUCAGAAGCUGAUGUCAUGGCCCAUAAGGCUUAUAUAACCUCCUACUUGUUUUGAUUAGUUUAUGUAUUCUUUAUGAUUUGUGCUACUUUUGGAGUUUAGUAAAGACGGUUAAUAUGAAGCCUCCUAUUAUGUUGCAAAAUGAAUAUUCAGGCAGUCGCGAUCAACAAAGACAAAUAAAUGUGCAAAAAAACCAACCCUUUAGAUUGGGUGGAAAUUACUGCAAGACUGAUAAAUAAACUAGCCACAUGUAGAUCAAAUGCAUUGUAAUACAUUGCAAUNNNNNNNNNNNNNNNNNNNNNNNNNNNNNNNNNNNNNNNNNNNNNNNNNNNNNNNNNNNNNNNNNNNNNNNNNNNNNNNNNNNNNNNNNNNNNNNNNNNNAAUCCAGGAUAUUUGCUAAAGUAAAAAUUGCAAGGAAUUCAAAGUGAAUUUCUUAUUUAUGUCAAAAAUAGCUGAAUUGGAGGAAUUCUCCAGCGCAGUUGUGCUUCGACUCUAAAAUUUGAAAUUAAUUUUGAAUUCACUUUGAAUUAAUGACAAUUCUCACUUUAGUAUAUUACCUUUUAGGAGAAGUUAACUGUAGGAGUAUUUGCUCUUUUGUCAGAUAGAGACAUAGAUACAAAGAUUAGAUGUAUAUGGGUCUUGACAACAAGGGUAAAUAUAAUUAGAAAAAAAAAAAGUAAAAUACAAAGCUGACAUUAUUUUCUUAUUUUUUUAAACAAGUUUGUUAUGAUGUAAGAAAAAAAUAUUAUAAUAAUAUAAAAUCCCCUUAAGGGGUUAAAGUAAAUGUUUGCGGUUAUUGCUAUAGAUAAAUAGGAAAAUGGAAUGUGCACACACUUGAUCUGAAAAUAAAUGUUAAAGAUUUUACUUAGCGUACAAUAAAAAAAUAAAAAUAAAAUACAAGUACACAGGAAAGGAUACGGGUACCGAGCCUUUUUUUUUUUUUGAGACACAAUUUCUGUUCACUAUGUAAUAGCUUAUCAAUCCAUAAUGGCACUCUUUACUUACUUCCCAAUACAGUGUCUACACAUAAUGGAUAAAUAAACACAUAUAUGGCAAUACACAUUUGAAAACCUGGUAAUAUUUCCACCUGUUUUCUGGUGGCCUGCACUGCAGCUUAUAGGAAAUAAUUGAAUUAACUGAUUUCUUAUGAGAAGAAUUUGAUUGUAUGCUUUGGCCACACUUGCCCCGCAUGUGCAUCAGUCCCCAGUGCUCUUCCAUUGUUCGUCCAAUCCAGUGCUCCCCUCACAUCCUCUACGAGGAGCAUUGGAUUGGAUGAACACCUGGAAUGUGAGGCCUCCACAAUGACGUUGCAGAAGACAGAGUGGUAGCAGUGCCAAAAUGUCUCAGCGCUGGAGAAAAGGUAAUUAAAAACUUUAAUAAUCCAAUUUUUAUUACACAUAGUUGGGGGCACUAAUCUAAAUAGCUAUCCACUUUCCUCGCUAAAAAGCCUCAAAAAUCCAAAACCUCUAUGUUGUUAAAGAUAUUUAGAUCUUUAAUGUAGAGCAGUUUUGAGUUGGAUGAGCGAAUGGAUUGAAGGAUUCAGGACCCCUGGAAGAGAAUAUAAUAUGCAUGGUAAUUAAUACAUGGUCACAAAAUAUGGGCAAAUUACCAUAUUAUACCAUACUAACAGUUGCUCAUUUUCUUAACAGACCUUUGCACAAUUUUGAGGAUGUCAUUUAGUUUUAUCUGAAUAAUUAAUGUUUAAUUUAAUAUAAUAUUAGCAAAAUAGGCCUGUCCAGUCUUUCACCAUUUCAUGUUUUUUUGUUAUUGCCUUGUCCGUUUCAUAUUUUUUUGUUGUUGCUUUUUUUUAUUGUGAUCUUGUUUCAUUUUAGAAGAUGAUAAUGAGGAAACUGCUAAGUACUGGAAUGAUAUGGCUAAAGAAACUCUGGAAGAGGCUCUAGAAAUGAAGCCUAACAUAAAUAAAGCCAAGAAUCUCAUCAUGUUCCUUGGAGAUGG
rnacentral:lncRNA from 1 species